GCUGCUGUGAAGAGAACAAUUGUCAGACUGAAUGUUGAACAUCAGCUAGUUUCUCCUGUUGAUUUAAACCUUGUUGUAGACAUGGAACAUUGGCUGUGGAUUAUUCUUGCUGCUCUUUUCUUUGAGUGUAAAGGAGAAGACAGAGUGAACCAGACAACAGGAGAUGUCAUCGCUACUGAAGGACACACAAUCACACUGGACUGUACAUUUGUGACCAGUGACCAAAAUCCCACUUUGUUCUGGUACAAACAGGAAGUUCAUGAUUCCCCAAAGUACAUGCUGAAAAGUUUCUCAAAAAACGUAGAUAAAGCUCCAGAAUUCCAGAAAGACAGAUUUGAUGCUAGAAUCAACAAGAAAUCAGUUCCUCUGAAGAUCCAGAAGCUUCAGCUGUCAGACUCUGCUGUGUACUACUGUGCUCUGCAGCCCACAGUGACAGGAAACACCAAAACUCUGUACAAAAACCUUUGGAGCAAAGACAACACAAUACUCCACAACGUCCACUAGAGGGAGUCACACUCUGUUCCACUUCAACA